AGAGUUUGAUCCUGGCUCAGAACGAACGCUGGCGGCGUGCUUAACACAUGCAAGUCGAACGAGAAAUCAUGCCUUCGGGCGUGAGAGUAAAGUGGCGCACGGGUGAGUAACACGUGGGUAACCUGCCCUCGAAUCCGGGAUAACUUCGCGAAAGCGUUGCUAAUACUGGAUAUUGUCCCAUAUGCUAUGGUUUUUGGGAUGAAAGGUGACCUCUUUAUAAAAGUUGCCGUUUGAGGAGGGGCCCGCGUACCAUUAGCUUGUUGGUAGGGUAAUGGCCUACCAAGGCUACGAUGGUUAGCUGGUCUGAGAGGAUGAUCAGCCACACUGGAACUGGAACACGGUCCAGACUCCUACGGGAGGCAGCAGUGAGGAAUUUUGCGCAAUGGGGGAAACCCUGACGCAGCAACGCCGCGUGAGUGAAGAAGGCUUUCGGGUCGUAAAGCUCUGUCAAGUGGGAAAAAAUGCUUUCGAUUAAUAUUCGAGAGAACUGAUGGUACCACUGGAGGAAGCACCGGCUAACUCCGUGCCAGCAGCCGCGGUAAUACGGAGGGUGCAAGCGUUGUUCGGAAUUACUGGGCGUAAAGAGCGUGUAGGCGGUUUGGUAAGUCAGAUGUGAAAGCCCUGGGCUUAACCCAGGAAGUGCAUUUGAAACUGCCUUACUUGAGUAUGGGAGAGGAGAGUGGAAUUCCCAGUGUAGAGGUGAAAUUCGUAGAUAUUGGGAGGAACACCCGUGGCGAAGGCGACUCUCUGGACCAAUACUGACGCUGAGACGCGAAAGCGUGGGUAGCAAACAGGAUUAGAUACCCUGGUAGUCCACGCCGUAAACGAUGAGAA
rnacentral:rRNA from 1 species